UUCUCAGCGGCUGUGGGACUCCGGGCACAGUUCAGUACAUUUUGAACUGAAUGAAAAACACAUCAGGGUCCCCACCGGUGAAAACUCAGCGGCUUCCAGGGGGCAUGGCCUUCCGGAACUCCAUCUCUGGAGGCCCAAACCCCAGACACCUAAGGAUGAAAGGUCUGCUCAUCUGGAAGGGAAGCUAAGGAACUUCUCGGGAGGCAUUCUGGGCUGCUCUCAGGGGGCCAGCAGGGCCCGGCCAAUGCCACAGGGUGUCCGAGGAAAGGGCCCCUUGCCACCACCCAGCCUCCUGGUGUACGGAAUCUCCUUUGCAAGCCCAUGAUUGUCAGUGAGCCCAAGCCACAGCGAGAGAGCCGGGACAUGCAGCAAUAGGCAAAUUGCAAGUUGGCUCCUGAAGUUUGACCAAAGGAGCAUAUAAUUUGAGCACUGGAGAUGGCGCUUGCACCGUGCCUGAGCUGAAAGGGGGGACGGGAGAAAACUUGGCAUGGGGAGAGAAGAAGGGAGCAGGAGACGGAGCUUUCUUUUCCUUCCUUGGAAAUUCUGCCGCGGGCUUCCAGUCACAAUGAAGGGUGGCCAUGAAAACUGAGAGCCCAAGCAAGGAACCCAACACCCAAGAAUGUAUAAGCUGGUUUGGCAAAAAGGAGAACUUCAUAAACAUUGAAAGGCAAUAAAAGCCAUUCAACAAAUAGUUACUGGGUUCCCACACCACGCUGGGCUCCAUUCGAGGCACAGGGGAGAAGGUGGAAAAGAGGAGACUGUUCCUCACCCCAAGGAGGUCUUGGUUCCUUGCAUUUCUAUGUAAAUUUAUACCAAAAAAUCCUGCCGGAGUUUUAAUUGCAUUUGCAUUAAAUCUCCAGAUCAAGCUGAGAGAAUUGACAUCUUAACACUAUUGAGCUAACGCAACUAUGAACAUGGGCUGCUGCAGUGGUUGGAGGGGUGACCCGGGAAACGAGAGCCACAGCUGCUUGAUUGAGCUCUGCCGCCGAGAGAGGGGUCGUCGCUCCGUCUCACAACUCCCCAAACCGCAAGUGGGCAAACCCGCAGCCUCUUGCAAGCCAGGGCCAGCUGCGUGGUUGCCCCCAUUGGAAAGCACCCCGUUGUCUCUGGGGUCCCCUGGGCUUGAAGGCACACCCCAGGGAAACCUGCAUCAAUGAACAGACCAGUCAGAUAAUUUAAAAACUCAUUUCAGUUGAGUUUUAAAAUAAUCAAAGGUGGCCUUAAAAGAAACUCCUCACUUCCCUUUUCAGUAUUUCUCUCUCUGCUUCUGACACUACUCACUUUUUUUUUUUUUUUUUUUUUGUGCUCCAUUGCAAGUGUUGAGCUCAUGUAUCCAUUUGUUGGGCCUGAAUUCAGCCAAGAUAUAUUUUAAUCAAUAAAGCUGUCACUAAUAAAAGGUUCUCUUAAAAUUAUUAAACAUGAACCCUGUGCUUCAGGAAAGCAAGGGAGGAUUUAGCAGUAAAGGGUUUUCCUGGUACCCCACAAAAUAUGUCAUAUAGGCAGGUAGUUGCCUUCUCAUCGGCCCAACCCUCGGAAGGUACAUAUGUGGGUGAUUUACUAGGCUCAGGGCCCUGGACAAGGUCUGUUGGGAAUUUUCAAGGUAGAGGAAAACACCCUCUGAGAGCUUAGAGUCUAUUGGAAUAAACUGGAUUAAAUAUAUUUUAUGUGCCUGGAGAACAUUUAUCUAUCAACCAUCUAUCCAUCUAUCUGUAUCAUGUCUCUCUCUCUCUCACUCUCACUCUCUAUGUAUCUAUCCACCUAUCAUCUACCUUUCUACCUACACAGCCAACUGUAGCUUCACAGAGAUAUACCCUGUGCCGAGUAAUUAAGAAAGGAGAAAAAUUGAAGGAUAAGAUGCCAUGUACCUCAUUAUCCUGCAGUGCCCAUUUUUAAUCAGCAUUCUACACAGAUUUCUUUUAUUCAGAAAUCGUCUCCCUAGAAUGCACACACGUGAACACACACCCACACGCACACCACAUUGACUUCUCUCCUCACACUGCUUUUUUUUGGCUUCCUUUUUAGAGUUCACAGCUGUGACCCUGCGGACGGGAGCCUACUGGAGAAAGGCUGUCGAGGGAGCAUUGAGACGUCUGUGCUUCGGGUUUGGUUGGCAGCAGGUGGAUUCUGGUGACGGCCCCAAGCUGUUGGCAACACCCUGUGUCUACUCUGGGUGUGGCCGUGUUAGACCAAAGGGACAAGAAGCAAGCGCCAAGCAGCAGACCACUGGAAAACCGUCGAUUUACGCCCAGGCAUUGGCUGCUCCAAUGUUCCCCUUUGUGUUCCUCAUUCUCUAACUUCAACGGAAUCACAACUUGUGCAUUUGUAGCAGAACUAAUCAGACUGAUUGGUGUUCCCAAUGUAAUCAUUGUUUUAAUAUACUUUCAACCAUCCCCUCACAUUCAGGAGUUAUAAAAUUUAUUUUUCUCUGGGAAACCUGGCAUUGGCCUUGGUCUCUCCCUCACAUCCGGGGUGAGCUGGUAAAUGCCUAACAACUAGCUCCCCGAAAAAUAAAGCACCUGACUUGGAGCAUUUGCUGGUUUCUGGGGCGUAAAUCCUCUGACCAUGGCCGAUUGCUGGCUCUCAAGGUGACACCCCUGGAUGUGAGGCUGGGGCGUGACGCGGCCUCCGUCGUGUGGAGCUCCCGCCACGCAGACACGAGCCACGUCCACCCCAGGAGGACAGGCCACGGGGAGAGGCAGGAAACAACUAGCAGGCAAUGAGUUUUCAGUGUCUUUUUUUUACUUUUUUAAAACAUAAUUUGUUCGAUCAUACAUUUGUAUAGUUUAAUUUUUAAUAAUGGCUGUGUUUUAAAACCAGCUCGUAAGAGUCCUGAAAAAUUCAUUAAUUGGAUCUCACAAGGCAGCACGGAUGGUGCAGGCUCUUCCCGGCGCAGCUGCUCGUGUGUGGAGUCCUGGAGGGUCCCCCGUUGGGGACCAGGGUUGAGGGGACAGCGGGGGGCUCUGGCUCAGCCGGAAUCAUGGUUUUGUUUCCACUGGGGGCUUUCCCACCGUUUUGAGACGGUCUCUCCUCAAAGUGAUGGGAAAAGCCGGCAGUGCGGUGGCGGAAAGCAUCUGGAAGCAGCUUCUGGAGCCUUCUAAACCCUCCCCGAUACCCUUGUCUAAACAGAGCCCCAUUUUGAAAUGUUUUCUGCUCAGCUGUUCUAUUUCUGUUUCUCCUUUAAAGCAGGGUGGGAGAGCACUGGCCCUCGAUUUCUACCUCAAGUAUCUACUCUGAAAGUCCUUGAGAUAAUUUAGAUAAUUUCUUUUGUGAAAAUCUUACCUUGAUGGAGGUGUUUAGCGGCAACAUAUUACAAAGCCAUAGUUUGCAGCUGUUAUUCUUUACAUUUUAUGCUCUCCGUUUUUCUGCGCUUCUCUCUCUCUCUGUUUCUCUUUCUCUCCCACCGUCCCUCCCUCCUUCUCUCUCUCCCCUGUGUUUGUGUGGGUUUCUCUGUUUCUCUGUCUCCAGCUUGUCUUCCCUCUUUAUGUUUUCUUCCUUAUCUUCCAUGCCCGCAGGGUCUUUUAAUCUGUCUAUACUACACAGCCGGUGUCUAUAUUUUUUCACUUGUUUUUAAUGAACAGAAUUUUAUGUUCUCUCUUCUUAAUUAAGUGCACCAAAUUUAUAUUUACAUUUUAUACAAAUGGAAUAAUACUAUAUGUAGUACUUUGUGUCUGGUUUCUUUCACUUACUGUAAUGGCCUUU